CCUACGGGAGGCACCAGUGGGGAAUAUUGCACAAUGGGCGCAAGCCUGAUGCAGCCAUGCCGCGUGUAUGAAGAAGGCCUUCGGGUUGUAAAGUACUUUCAGCGGGGAGGAAGGUGUUGUGGUUAAUAACCACAGCAAUUGACGUUACCCGCAGAAGAAGCACCGGCUAACUCCGUGCCAGCAGCCGCGGUAAUACGGAGGGUGCAAGCGUUAAUCGGAAUUACUGGGCGUAAAGCGCACGCAGGCGGUCUGUCAAGUCGGAUGUGAAAUCCCCGGGCUCAACCUGGGAACUGCAUUCGAAACUGGCAGGCUAGAGUCUUGUAGAGGGGGGUAGAAUUCCAGGUGUAGCGGUGAAAUGCGUAGAGAUCUGGAGGAAUACCGGUGGCGAAGGCAGCCCCCUGGGAUAACACUGACGCUCAUGCACGAAAGCGUGGGGAGCAAACAGGAUUAGAUACCCCUGUAGUC
rnacentral:rRNA from 1 species